CCUACGGGUGGCAGCAGUGGGGAAUAUUGCACAAUGGGGGAAACCCUGAUGCAGCGACGCCGCGUGAGUGAAGAAGUAUUUCGGUACGUAAACCUCUAUCAGCAGGGAAGAAAAUGACGGUAUCUGACUAAGAAGCCCCGGCUAACUACGGGCCAGCAGCCGCGGUAAUACGUAGGGGGAAAGCGUUAUCCGGAUUUACUGGGUGUAAAGGGAGCGUAGACGGCAGUUGAAGUCUGGAGUGAAAUCCCGUGGCUUAACCAUAGAACUGCUUUGGAAACUGUGCAGCUAGAGUGCAGGAGAGGUAAGCGGAAGUCCUAGUGUAGCGGUGAAAUGCGUAGAUAUUAGGAGGAACACCAGUGGCGAAGGCGGCUUGCUGGACUGCAACUGACGUUGAGGCUCGAAAGCGUGGGGAGCAAACAGGAUUAGAUACCCUUGUAGUC
rnacentral:rRNA from 1 species